CUGCGAUCUACUAAUAUACAGAUUUACGACUUUAUUUACAUGACACAGAAUUCAGUCCGAUUCAGUCUACCUUGUCCGGAGCAUUGGGGUGAGUAGGACCAAGUCCGUUGGUACUGCGGCGUCAAAUGGACUUACUGUACCAGCCUCGGUGCUGAGGCCAGAUAACAAGGAGCAGCUGCAAUUAUGAGAGUCUUAAGAUGGCAGUUAGAAGAGUAGGAGUUUGUUGUGCCACAGUCGCUGGCCAGUAAGGACGUGAACUCGGAAGCUGAGGAAGCUAUGGAAUUGGAAGUUGUUGCCAGCAACAAUGGAUGAAGAUGCAGUAGACUGAGAAGACUUUGUAUGUGCUGUAGUGAAUUGCAGAGUGUGAAAAUUAGU